rnacentral:rRNA from 1 species
AAACGACUCUCGGCAACGGAUAUCUCGGCUCUCGCAUCGAUGAAGAACGUAGCGAAAUGCGAUACUUGGUGUGAAUUGCAGAAUCCCGUGAACCAUCGAGUCUUUGAACGCAAGUUGCGCCCCACGCCAUCCGGCCGAGGGCACGUCUGCCUGGGUGUCACGC